GAUCCUGGCUCAGGAUGAACGCUAGCUACAGGCUUAACACAUGCAAGUCGAGGGGCAGCAUGGUCUUAGCUUGCUAAGGCCGAUGGCGACCGGCGCACGGGUGAGUAACGCGUAUCCAACCUGCCUUACACUCUUGGACAGCCUUCUGAAAGGGAGAUUAAUACAAGAUUGUUAUCAGUAGGGUAACGCUAUUUCGCAUAGUAAGUUUAAAACGGGUUUACCGGUUAGGUAAGAGGUGGGGAUGGUCCGUUCCUAUUAAG
rnacentral:rRNA from 1 species